rnacentral:rRNA from 1 species
UUUAUUCUUAUUGUCCCCGAAGUAAUAUUAGCUAUAUUAUUUUGUUUAGUGUUUGUUAAAUUAAGUUUAAGUAAACUAGUAUAGGUGUGAUAUGCUAGUCAUUUAUUAUUAUAUCUGGUUUUUUUGGAAAUAAAUUUAGUUUAGAUUUUUUUUAGGUUGUAUAAGUUUGUAUAUUUAAUGAUUUAUAAGAAGUUUAGUAGUAUAGGGUUGAGCUUGUACUUUGUUUUAUAAUUGUUUUGGUGAAAUGUUUUGUUUUGGGUUAGGUUUUGAAUUUGCUAUAGAUGUUGAGUCUGUUGUAAAAUAUUGUGUGUAUUAUAUUUAAUAUUUAGAUUGAGUACGAAAAUGAAUUGAUUUAUUUAUUAUUUUUUGUAAAUAUGCUUGAAUUAGUAGAGAAUUUUAUGUUUUUUUAUAAAUGUUGGAAGUUUUAUGGCGUUGUUUUGAUUAGUUAUAUGAAGGAACUUGGCAAAUUUAAUGUCUGCCUGUUUAAUAAAAACAUGGUCUUUUGUUGAUAUAAAAGGUCUGACCUGCCCACUGAAAUGUUUGGUUAAAGGGCUGCAGUAUUUUUGACUGUACAAAGGUAGCGUGGUAAUUUGUCUAUUAAUUGUUGACUUGAAUGAAUGGUUUGACGAGAUGUUAGCUGUCUCCAUUUAAUGAAUAUAAUUUAAAUUAAUUUUUUAGUGAAGAAGCUGAAAUGUUUUUAAGGGACGAAAAGACCCUAUAGAUUUUGAGUAUUAUCAAUUUGUUUAUAUUAGGUUUAGAUAGAUUUUUUGGUAAUAUUUUUGCUGGGGCGGCGAUUGAAGAUGUGAAUCUUCAGUUGGUUAGAAGCAUUGUUGGGUGUGGUGAUCUUGUGUUAUAAAUAAGAAGAAAAAAAUACCUUAGGGAUAACAGCGUUAUAGAUCUUGAGAGUUCUUAUCGACAGAUUUGUUUGCGACCUCGAUGUUGAAUUAGGAGUGGUAGUAGGUGGAAGGAUUUAAUUUACCAGGUCUGUUCGACCUUUGAAAUUCUACGUGAUCUGAGUUCAGACCGGAAUCAC